rnacentral:misc_RNA from 1 species
UUCUCUGUUAUCGUGGUUACGUUCUGUACGCUGACGUCUGGAGCGGCCGAGGCCGACGGUUCACGGUGUGUUCGUUUACGAUUUCUCUAAUGAUCCUUCCGCAGGUUCACCUACGGAAA